rnacentral:misc_RNA from 1 species
GAUGAAGAACGUAGCGAAAUGCGAUACGUAAUGUGAAUUGCAGAAUUCAGUGAAUCAUCGAAUCUUUGAACGCAUAUUGCGCUCUCUGGUAUUCCGGAGAGCAUGCUUGUUUGAGUAUCAGUAAACACCUCAACUCCCUUUUCUUUUUUGAAAUGGGAGCUGGACUUGAGUGAUCCCAACACUUUUCUCACUGGAAAGUGGCGGGUAACUUGAAAUGCAGGUGCAGCUGGACUUUUCUCUGAGCUAUAAGCAUAUCUAUUUAGUCUGCCUAAAAAACAGAUUAUUACCUUUGCUGCAGCUAACAUAAAGGAGAUGAGUUCUUGUGCUGACUGAUGCAGGAUUCACAGAGACAGCUUUGCGGCUGACUUUGUAAACUCGAUCUCAAAUCAAGUAAGACUACCCGCUGAACUUAAGCAUAUCAAUAAGCGGAGGA